UACGUAGGGUGCAAGCGUUAUCCGGAUUUAUUGGGCGUAAAGGGCUCGUAGGCGGUUCGUCGCGUCCGGUGUGAAAGUCCAUCGCUUAACGGUGGAUCCGCGCCGGGUACGGGCGGGCUUGAGUGCGGUAGGGGAGACUGGAAUUCCCGGUGUAACGGUGGAAUGUGUAGAUGUCGGGAAGAACACCAAUGGCGAAGGCAGGUCCCUGGGCCGUUACUGACGCUGAGGCACGAAAGCGUGGGGAGCAAAUAGG
rnacentral:rRNA from 1 species